AAACAGACAAACAAACACAGUCACACCCACAUGCACACCUACGGACAAUUUAAAGAUUCCAAUCCACCACCAAUCCAUGUCUUUGGAUGCGGGAGGAAACCGGAGCACCUGGAGGAAACCCAUGUAAACACGGGGAGAGCAUGCAGACUCCACACAGAGGG